UACAGAGGUCCCAAGCGUUGUUCGGAAUUAUUGGGCGUAAAGGGCGCGUAGGCGGCCUUGUAAGUCAAAGGUGAAAUCCCUCGGCUCAACUGAGGAACUGCCUUUGAAACUGCAAGGCUUGAGGCCGGGAGGGGGUAGCGGAAUUCCCAAUGUAGCGGUGAAAUGCGUAGAUAUUGGGAGGAACACCAGUGGCGAAGGCGGCUACCUGGACCGGUUCUGACGCUGAGGAGCGAAAGCGUGGGGAGCAAACAGG
rnacentral:rRNA from 1 species